AUGGAUGCGACCGGCAAGGGACAAAAAUGGCAUAAGAGAGAUGUACAGGGGUAGGGAAGGGGAAGAGAAAGAUCGAUAUCUACGCCCCUUCUUUUUCUCUUAUGCAUUUUUGUCCCUCGCCAGUCUCGCCCAU
rnacentral:pre_miRNA from 1 species